UCCCCAUUUUGUUCCACAACCACCUACACCAAGUUAUCUCUGCAUUUAAAGGCUUUGCUCAGCCACCCCUCCCUGAGACAUUUCUGGCUUAGGUACUGAGCAUCUUACUACUAUAAUGCUUUCCUCCCCUAAUAGUGGAUUUCCAUAUUAGUCCAGAUUGCAUGCUUUUCUUUGACAGUAACAAUGCCAUGACUUGGAGGGAAUGCUCACAGCCCCUCAGGCAACUGCUGUUUUCACUCCAUCUGAUUGGAAUCUUUGCGCCUGUUCCUGCUGGGGGACAUCAGAAUCCACAAAAUCCACAAUGAUCCUUCCUGAGACCAUGGCUUGCCUUGUCUGGGCCCAGCUUCUGAAGAAUCACUAUGAUUUUGCUAUAGAUUGUAAAGACCCAUCAUCGCAGCAGGCUGUGCAUGAGCUAUAUUUUCCUCUGGACAGAGUUCCAGCUGAGACCCUAUAA
rnacentral:lncRNA from 1 species